GCUCGAAGGAGAGAGGGAACAAGAUUAAAAAUACCCAGAGAUGAUAAAUCAAUCUGCACAGAGGAUAAGUAAACAUCGAGCCACAAGGUCAAACAGCAGAGCAAGGCUGCAGUUCUGAGAUGAAAAAUAUCGAUGGAGGAGUUCCAUGGUGGUGUAGUACACCGAGAGAACGUCGUAACCGAUGAGGUCUGGACGCUAAAACAAACCUUGGAGCUUCCUUUUUUUGUCGUCAAUGGAGAAGUCUGGAUGCUAAAACAAACCCUGGAGCUGCUUUUUUGUCGAACACGUGUGAGACUGGAUGCCGUAGCUACACAGCUGUGGCGUGAAGGUUUACUCGUUCAGCUGCUGCAGACUGGACUGAAACACCAGCUCUCACCUUAAUGACGAAACAGGAUUCAAACGUCAACCAUUAAAUCACAGAUAGAAGAAACAGACGUGAAGACAUUUCCAGGUCUUUGGCUGCUGUCAUCUUCUCCUCCUGCAGACACAGGAACACGCAUUAUUAUUUUAAAGUACCCAUGUUACCAUGUUUUCCCCACAUAUACACACUCGCACCUCUACAGUGUUUGUGAGUUAGGUUAGAUUUUCAUUUUGAUGUUUUGCCAUUCCAAACAGUGCAAUAUCAGUACUUGAAUCUAAUCUAUUACUGUGUACUCAUAUGGUUUAUAUGUUCUUAUAUAUCUUCUCUAGUUUAUCUAAUGACUUUUCUAUUACUACCGUUGCUACACUGAAUUUCCCAGCUGUGGGACUGAAGGAUUAUCUUAUUUAAAUAAAUACUUCUUAACACUAAAUAUUUUGCCAGUCUGUUUAUUACUAUAUGAAAGUGAAUACUUUUAGCCAGAGAUUAGAGUUUUUAGCCUCAAUUAUACAUUUUAGUUCCAAGCUGCAAG